CCUGAUGGGAUUAAGAUGUGACUUUCUCUCUGGGGCUCGGUUUCCUGUCUUUCCUCGGCCUCCAAGGGACAGAGAGAUCCUGUAGAACUACUGCUCGUCAUCCCUAGAGGAGCAGGGCUGGAAGAUGGCCGAUUCCUCACUCUACACACCCCGAGAAGCACCAGAGAUACAGCCAAGCCUCUGCUCGACAGCUUUAUCAACUAUCUGAACCCUGGCUUCUGGGCCUUGGAGCUGGGAAGAGCUAAGAGGAAUUGUUAGCAUUUCUUCUAGGCUCCACUCCGCAGUUACCUGGCAACAACCAGAUUCACGCAGGUGGCUGUGCUGCUCAGGCAGGGCAUCAGAGGAAGGACAACUAGAGACAUCCGUGCAAAUUCUUGUCAUCUCUGAUGCUUCCAAAAUCCACAGCUAUGUCCUGCACCCAGGGAAGCUGAGGAACACCCCCUAGCAUGGGCGUCACUGAAACAUGAAGUUCCCCUGGCUGGCUCCUCCAGGUUACACAGGAUCACCACAUCAUGAAAUGAUUUUCCUUCCCUCUUUAUUUCCUUUUGUCCCCCUUUGCUUCUGAGACAAAUGGAAAAAUAAUUUGAUCUCCUUGAUUCGGCUCACCCCUGAUAUUCUCCCCCUUCACACCGAGUACCGCCCCUUGAUAAAUGAGAACACAUGUGUUGGAAUCUAGCCUCCACCCGCCGGACUCUGUUCUUCUUCCCUUCCUCCUCCUUCCCCUCCUCUUCCUCCCCCCUCCCCUCCUCUUCCCCAUCUAUUGGGUGGGUAUGGGAUGGGUUCCAUUCAAAAUUCUGAAUUAAAUUUAUAA